UACAGAGGGUGCAAGCGUUGUUCGGAAUUAUUGGGCGUAAAGGGCGCGUAGGCGGUGCGGUAAGUCUGUAGUGAAAUCUCUGGGCUCAACUCAGAGUCUGCUGCAGAAACUGCCGUGCUUGAGUGUGGGAGAGGUGAGUGGAAUUCCCGGUGUAGCGGUGAAAUGCGUAGAUAUCGAGAAGAACACCGGUGGCGAAGGCGGCCAUCUGGACAGAUACUGACGCUGAGACGCGAAAGCGUGGGGAGCAAACAGG
rnacentral:rRNA from 1 species